GUGGGGAAUAUUGGACAAUGGGCGCAAGCCUGAUCCAGCCAUGCCGCGUGUGUGAAGAAGGCCUUUUGGUUGUAAAGCACUUUAAGCGAGGAGGAGGCUACUUGGAUUAAUACUCUAGGAUAGUGGACGUUACUCGCAGAAUAAGCACCGGCUAACUCUGUGCCAGCAGCCGCGGUAAUACAGAGGGUGCGAGCGUUAAUCGGAUUUACUGGGCGUAAAGCGUGCGUAGGCGGCUUUUUAAGUCGGAUGUGAAAUCCCUGAGCUUAACUUAGGAAUUGCAUUCGAUACUGGGAAGCUAGAGUAUGGGAGAGGAUGGUAGAAUUCCAGGUGUAGCGGUGAAAUGCGUAGAGAUCUGGAGGAAUACCGAUGGCGAAGGCAGCCAUCUGGCCUAAUACUGACGCUGAGGUACGAAAGCAUGGGGAGCAAACAGGAUUAGAAACCCGGGUAGUCC
rnacentral:rRNA from 1 species